AUUGAACGCUGGCGGCAGGCCUAACACAUGCAAGUCGAAAGAGUGGCGGACGGGUGAGUAAUGUCUGGGAAACUGCCUGAUGGAGGGGGAUAACUACUGGAAACGGUAGCUAAUCCCGCAUACCAUCGGAUGUGCCCAGAUGGGAUUAGCGAGUAGGUGGGGUAAAGGCGCACCUAGGAGAAGAUACCUAGCUGGUCUGAGAGGAUGACCAGCCACACUGGAACGUAGACACGGUCCAGACGCCUACGGGCGGCAGCAGUGGGGAAUCUUGCACAAUGGGCGCUAGCCUGAUGCAGCCAUGCCGCGUGUAUGAAGAAGGCCUUCGGGUUUUAAAGUACUUUCAGCGGGGAGGCGUUACCCGCAGAAGAAGCACCGGCUAACUCCGUGCCAGCAGCCGCGGGAAUUC
rnacentral:rRNA from 1 species